rnacentral:lncRNA from 1 species
AAAAAUUCGGAAAUUACUUUCUGCAUGUGUUGUUUUUUUUAAAGAUGAAAAAAUUGUUUGUUUUCUUACAAUUUAUUACCUUUUUCCAUUUACGUGAGUGUCCUAUGUACCAAUUCGAGUCUCCCUAAAGUUAAUUUUAAAUGUGUUGUCAUUUUUACCUAUUUAUUGAUAUAACGUACGUAACAUAGAUGCAUAUCCAUCUUCCUACGGCUAUAAUAGUUAUAAAUGUAAAAAAAAAAAAAAAUAAAAAAAAAAAAAAAAAAAAAAAAAUUGUUAUAAAUGUUUGUGUUGCAGAGAAAAUUCCACAAGUGAAAUUUUCGUAUUGGCAGAUAACUCAAGUUUUUCUCAUUUUUUUAAAUAUAAUUUGAUGUGUUAUUUAAACUAAACAUAUUUUAAUAUUGCUAAUAUACCCUCUGAUCCACAAUAUAUUUUUAUCAUUUUCUUAAUAUAAUUUGAGGUGCUAUUUAAACUCACAUAUUUAAAUACUGCUAAUACACC